ACAUAUACACCCGACGCGAUCCAACAUCAAUAAGUGAAGACCCCUACGCAGCCAUGUUCAUGUUUUUCUACGGCGUGGCUGUCAAAAUAGACUCGUAAGAAGAAAAGCUUACUUCUUCACUUCAUUUCUCUCUCCGUCGCCAUAUGGAGGCUCUCCGUCUAACGCCGUCGCAGGCGCCCCCCCUCCGCCCUAACCGCCGCUCCAAAUUGACUCCACACACCUUCCCUGGAUCCCACAAGAAUCCCAUCAAGCCGUUUAUCAAUGCCACCCUCUCUAAACCGGCGGCGGAGGUCCCUCCGUUGCCUACGCCAUCGCCUGCAUGUUCGUCGCCGACAUCUUCCUCCACAAGCACCGUUUCGAAUACUCCAAAGAGGGUUUCUCCCAAUUCUCCCCAGUCCCCGCCCGGUUACGUAGGAGCCGUACCUGACCGUACGGUUCAUGACAGGACUAGUGACAUUAUAAACGCCAUGGGUUACUUGACGAAUAUAUUGUCUUCUAAGGUUUAUGACGUUGCGAUUGAAUCUCCCAUGCAGUUCGCUUCUAAGCUGUCGGACAGAUUGGGUGUCAAGUUUUGGCUCAAGCGAGAGGACUUGCAGCCGGUUU
rnacentral:misc_RNA from 1 species